AGGUUACACAAGUGGGACCUGUAUUGAUCUCAGAUUCCACAAUCCUUUGGACCCUGGAGGUUACUAAUGGUGGCUUAUAUGACAGCUGAAAGUUCAUCGAUACUUGUUCAAUACCUGGGGUUACCAGGUGUCCAGUAUUUAACCGGACUGUCAAGUCAUUUAACUAUCUACGAUCACACUCUCCUCGCCGCUACAGAUCCUAUGAUUAAGUUCUCAUUGAGGGCACAAAACUAUUAAGGAUUGUUGUGCUAUGUGCCUUUGUUUUUUAAUCAUGCUUUAAUAAAGUCAGUUUUUAUUUUUACAGCCCUUUUUU